rnacentral:rRNA from 1 species
GACGAACGCUGGCGGCGUGCUUAACACAUGCAAGUCGAACGGAAAGGCCCCUUUGGGGGUACUCGAGUGGCGAACGGGUGAGUAACACGUGAGUAACCUGCCCUUGACUUCGGGAUAACUUCAGGAAACUGGGGCUAAUACCGGAUAGGAAUCCUUGCUGCAUGGUGGGGGUUGGAAAGCUUCGGCGGUUUUGGAUGGACUCGCGGCUUAUCAGCUUGUUGGUGGGGUAGUGGCUUACCAAGGCUUUGACGGGUAGCCGGCCUGAGAGGGCGACCGGCCACAUUGGGACUGGGAGACGGCCCAGACUCCUACGGGAGGCAGCAGUGGGGAAUAUUGCACAAUGGGCGGAAGCCUGAUGCAGCAACGCCGCGUGCGGGAUGACGGCCUUCGGGUUGUAAACCGCUUUCAGCAGGGGCGAAGCUUGUGGUGACGGUACCUGCAGAAGAAGCACCGGCUAACUACGUG